UAUAAAUUGUGAAAAAUUGUG
ensembl:piRNA 21ur-1100 ncRNA